AUGCUUGCAUAAAUGAUUUUUGGAUUCGGAGCGAGUGGCGAACUGGUGAGUAACACGUGGGUAACCUGCCCCGAAGCGGGGGAUAACAUUUGGAAACAAGUGCUAAUACCGCAUAAUUAGUUGGAACCGCAUGGUUCCAACUUGAAAGAUGGCUCUGCUAUCACUUUGGGAUGGACCCGCGCCGUAUUAGUUAGUUGGUGAGAUAAAAGCCCACCAAGACGAUGAUACGUAGCCGACCUGAGAGGGUAAUCGGCCACAUUGGGACUGAGACACGGCCCAGACUCCUACGGGAGGCAGCAGUAGGGAAUCUUCCACAAUGGACGAAAGUCUGAUGGAGCAACGCCGCGUGAGUGAUGAAGGUUUUCGGAUCGUAAAACUCUGUUGUUAAAGAAGAACAAGUGUUAGAGUAACUGUUAACACUUUGACGGUAUUUAACCAGAAAGCCACGGCUAACUACGUGCCAGCAGCCGCGGUAAUACGUAGGUGGCAAGCGUUGUCCGGAUUUAUUGGGCGUAAAGCGAGCGCAGGCGGUUUUGUAAGUCUGCUGUGAAAGCCCUCAGCUCAACUGAGGAAGUGCAGUGGAAACUACAAAACUUGAGUACAGAAGAGGAAAGUGGAACUCCAUGUGUAGCGGUGAAAUGCGUAGAUAUAUGGAAGAACACCAGUGGCGAAGGCGGCUUUCUGGUCUGUUACUGACGCUGAGGCUCGAAAGCAUGGGUAGCGAACAGGAUUAGAUACCCUGGUAGUCCAUGCCGUAAACGAUGAAUACUAGGUGUUGGGAGGGUUUCCGCCCUUCAGUGCCGCAGCUAACGCAUUAAGUAUUCCGCCUGGGGAGUACGACCGCAAGGUUGAAACUCAAAGGAAUUGACGGGGGCCCGCACAAGUGGUGGAGCAUGUGGUUUAAUUCGAUGCUACGCGAAGAACCUUACCAGCUCUUGACAUCUUCUGCCAACCCAAGAGAUUGGGCGUUCCCUUCGGGGACAGAAUGACAGGUGGUGCAUGGUUGUCGUCAGCUCGUGUCGUGAGAUGUUGGGUUAAGUCCCGCAACGAGCGCAACCCUUAUUAUUAGUUGCCAGCAUUUAGUUGGGCACUCUAGUGAGACUGCCGGUGAUAAACCGGAGGAAGGUGGGGACGACGUCAAAUCAUCAUGCCCCUUAUGAGCUGGGCUACACACGUGCUACAAUGGAUGGUACAACGAGUCGCGAAACCGCGAGGUCAAGCUAAUCUCUUAAAGCCAUUCUCAGUUCGGAUUGCAGGCUGCAACUCGCCUGCAUGAAGUUGGAAUCACUAGUAAUCGUUGAUCAGCAUGCCACGGUGAAUACGUUCCCGGGCCUUGUACACACCGCCCGUCACACCAUGAGAGUUUGUAACACCCAA
rnacentral:rRNA from 1 species